CCGCGUUGCUGUGGCUCUGGCGUAGGCCGGUGGCUACAUCUCUGAUUCGACCCCUAGCCUGGGAACCUCCAUAUGCCGCGGGAGCGGCCCAAGAAAUAGCAAAAAGACAAAAAAAGAUAUAUAUAUUAUUCCUUGAGUCUCUGAAAUAAUGACCUCACAGACUUUAACAACUGACAUCACUAGUCAUAAAACACAAGAAUUUCAAAUUACCAGAAUAGCUGCUCACUUUCCUUCCAUGAAAGUAAUUUGUUCACUUGAAAGAAGAGUAACAUUUUGUAGUUUUGACCUACAGCAUAACAUUACAAAGAAAAAUAGAUCAGAUCAUACAAUGCAUUAAAUUAAUUAAAAAUAAAACGUUGGUUUCAUUUAAAUUAAUCAUAUAAAAAUUAAAAAUAAUCAUAUAAGCAUUCCUUGACACAAAAUCAGUUUUUUGAUCCAUUGUAACCCAUGCCAUUUCAUUUAUUCACUUAUUUCCUCUCUGAGUUCUUUAUUUAGUAAGUAGCCAAUAAUGCUCUCUACUGAACUAUUAAAAUAAGUGACACAGCAGUUAUCUCAAAUGGAAAAUUGUAAAAUUGUAUUUAACCUAAUCAAGACUAUAUAAAUACCUUGCUAUGUAAAAAAUAUCCUGUGAUGAACAAAAUGCAAGGCAUAUGAUUGGUGUACUGUGAUAUUAUUGAGGUUAUCAGUCAAGCCAGUUCUGAGAGUUUUGUCUUAUUGUAAGACCACUCAGCUGGAUCUCAGUAACCUCAAUACUUAUGCUCAUCCUUGAUCCAGGCAGGUUAACUAUGAACUAAUAAGCACACCUUACACCACACUAAUGCUCUUGACAAUUUACCACUUGCAUUCAGCUUAUAGUAGAAAUGGCGCAGGUGGACAUUUGACUUGAUUUUAGUAACUGGGUUUAUAAUGGCAACUUCAGAAGCGUCCCAGCAUCCUUCUGUUUAGAGUCAAACAUGAAGUGAUUAUUGCAGUGUGGCAGUUUUUAAUGCUGAUAUAUUUAUGCAGUAUGAUAGGAACAAUCAGUAGUUAACUGUGCACUUGGGUUAUAUCAUUUAAGAUUACUAAAGUAUGUGAAGUAUAUACAAUGUGAUAAUCCCAUCUGAUAGAAGAAGUCACAUUCAAUGUGAAUCCAUAUCUUCCUUGUCAAAGAAGAUAUGCAUUCAUAUCAAAACCAUAUGAUAAAAACCUCUACAAAACAACGGGAAACAACAAAAUGGCAAUAGGUACAUAGCUAUCAAUAAUUAAUUAUAAUGACCUAAAUGUUUCAAUCAAAAGAUAUUCUGCGAACAGAAACAAAGCUGAAGUAGCAAUACUUAUAUAAGACAAGAUAGACUUUAAAACAAAAGCUGUAACAAGAGAUGAAGAAGGGCAUUGUAAUGAUAAAGAAAUAAACCUAACAAGAUAUAAUAAUUGAAAAUAUCUAUGCAUUUGAAAUGGGCCCAUCUAAAUACAUAAAGCAAAUAUUAACAAACAAGCAAAUUGACAGUAACACAAUAAGUGCACAGGUCUUUAACACCACCAUUACCUCAAUGGACAGAUCAUCUAGACAGAAAAUCAAUAAGGAAAUACUGGGCUUAAAUUAAUCAUUAGAUCGGGUGCACUUAAUGGAUAUAUGUAGAAUAUUCCAUGCAAAAGCCACAGAUUACAUUCUUUUCAAACCACAUAGAACAUUCUCUGCAAUAGAUCCCAUGCUAGGCCACCAAAAAAGUCUCAAUAAAUUUAAGAAAGUUGAAGUUACAUUAAGUAUUUUUUUCCAACCACAAUGAUAGCAAUUACAAGGAAAAAGCCUGCAAAACCCACAAACACAUGGAGUCUAAACUAUAUGAUACUAAAUAGCCAAAGAGAUAAUAAAAAUAGACCUGGAGACAAAGGAAAAUGUAAACACGACACAACUUUCCAAAAUCUUAGCAACAAAAGCAGUUAUAAGUGGGAAGUUUGAAGUGACACAAGCCUACUUUAGGAAAUAAACAAAUAUUAAAGAGUAUAACUACACCUAAAGGAAUUAGAGAAAGAACAAACUUAAAAGUUAUUAAAAAUGAAAUAAGAAAGAGCAGAAAUAAAUAAAAUAGGGCCCAAAAAAGUAGAAAGUUCAAUGAAACAAAGAAUCAUCAAGAGAGCAGACCUGGAAUUCCUGCUGUGGUGCAGUGGGUUAAGAAUCUGACUGCAGUGGCUUGGGUCACUGUGGAAUUGCAGUUUCAGUCCUAAACGUGGUACGUUGGUUAGGGAUCCUGCAUUGCCACAGCUGUGGUAUAGGUCACAACUGAGUCUUGGAUUUGAUCUCUAGCCUAAGAACUUCCAUAUGCCAUGGCAUAGCCAUUGAAAAAAAGAGAGCAAACCCAAAUAAAACCAGUAAUAAAAAUGAAAAGUGGAGUUCCCGUCGUGGCGCAGUGGUUAACGAAUCCGACUAGGAACCAUGAGCUUGCGGGUUCGGUCCCUGCCCUUGCUCAGUGGGUUAACGAUCCGGCGUUGCCGUGAGCUGUGGUGUGGGUUGCAGACGCGGCUCGGAUCCCGCGUUGCUGUGGCUCUGGCCGGUCGCUACAGCUCCGAUUCAACCCCUAGCCUGGGAACCUCCAUAUGCCACAGGAGCGGCCCAAGAAAUAGCAACAACAACAACAACAAAAAAGAAGACAAAAGACAAAAAAUAAAAAAAAAAAA
rnacentral:lncRNA from 1 species